GGAAUUCUUCGGGGCAGGGUGAGACAAUGGAGAGCAUUCAUUGUUGAUUCCCGACCGACGGUUAUAGUCCGUGAACUGCAGUUUGCAGCCGAUCCGGUGGAACUCCGGAACCGACAGUAUAGUCUGGAUGAGAGAAGAAAUUA
rnacentral:ncRNA from 2 species